rnacentral:rRNA from 1 species
CUGGUCUUGACAUCCACAGAACUUUCCAGAGAUGGAUUGGUGCCUUCGGGAACUGUGAGACAGGUGCUGCAUGGCUGUCGUCAGCUCGUGUUGUGAAAUGUUGGGUUAAGUCCCGCAACGAGCGCAACCCUUAUCUUUUGUUGCCAGCGGUCCGGCCGGGAACUCAAAGGAGACUGCCAGUGAUAAACUGGAGGAAGGUGGGGAUGACGUCAAGUCAUCAUGGCCCUUACGACCAGGGCUACACACGUGCUACAAUGGCGCAUACAAAGAGAAGCGACCUCGCGAGAGCAAGCGGACCUCAUAAAGUGCGUCGUAGUCCGGAUUGGAGUCUGCAACUCGACUCCAUGAAGUCGGAAUCGCUAGUAAUCGUGGAUCAGAAUGCCACGGUGAAUACGUUCCC